rnacentral:rRNA from 1 species
AGAGUUUGAUCCUGGCUCAGGAUGAACGCUGGCGGCGUGCUUAACACAUGCAAGUCGAACGAUGACCCGGUGCUUGCACCGGUGAUUAGUGGCGAACGGGUGAGUAACACGUGAGUAACCUGCCCUUAACUCUGGGAUAAGCCUGGGAAACUGGGUCUAAUACCGGAUAUGACUCCUCAUCGCAUGGUGGGGGGUGGAAAGCUUUAUUGUGGUUUUGGAUGGACUCGCGGCCUAUCAGCUUGUUGGUGAGGUAAUGGCUCACCAAGGCGACGACGGGUAGCCGGCCUGAGAGGGUGACCGGCCACACUGGGACUGAGACACGGCCCAGACUCCUACGGGAGGCAGCAGUGGGGAAUAUUGCACAAUGGGCGAAAGCCUGAUGCAGCGACGCCGCGUGAGGGAUGACGGCCUUCGGGUUGUAAACCUCUUUCAGUAGGGAAGAAGCGAAAGUGACGGUACCUGCAGAAGAAGCGCCGGCUAACUACGUGCCAGCAGCCGCGGUAAUACGUAGGGCGCAAGCGUUAUCCGGAAUUAUUGGGCGUAAAGAGCUCGUAGGCGGUUUGUCGCGUCUGCCGUGAAAGUCCGGGGCUCAACUCCGGAUCUGCGGUGGGUACGGGCAGACUAGAGUGAUGUAGGGGAGACUGGAAUUCCUGGUGUAGCGGUGAAAUGCGCAGAUAUCAGGAGGAACACCGAUGGCGAAGGCAGGUCUCUGGGCAUUAACUGACGCUGAGGAGCGAAAGCAUGGGGAGCGAACAGGAUUAGAUACCCUGGUAGUCCAUGCCGUAAACGUUGGGCACUAGGUGUGGGGGACAUUCCACGUUUUCCGCGCCGUAGCUAACGCAUUAAGUGCCCCGCCUGGGGAGUACGGCCGCAAGGCUAAAACUCAAAGGAAUUGACGG